UCCUCAGCCCUUUCACAAGGCAGAGAUUGCUGGAGCUCCGCAAAGAAACCGUGGCACGGAGAAAAGAAAGUGCUAAAAAAAAAAGGAAGGAGGCAAAAAAAAAACUCGGCUGACUGCUUUCUCUGCUGUGAAGGCCUCCCCACUGGCGGGCCCAGCCAGAAUGGGAGGGCUUCUGCUCUCCUAAGAGGAUUUAACCCUCUGUCUCCAGCCACUGCACUGCAGCCUAAGCAAACCCUGGCAACAAGUCACACUUUCUAACGAAUUGCUCAAGGUUUGAUGCAGCUUUUUUCUGUAUUGCUUUGGUUUUGACUUCUCCGUUUGACGAACAUGACUUGUAAGUUUCUGAGAGCGAUUCAGAACGUGGGAUUUCUUUGGGACAUAAAGCAGCCUGGACCAGUAGGGCCAGUGAUGUGUAGGAGCUGUUCAUGGGACAGGUGCCAAUUGCUCACAAAAGACAGGGAAAAAAUCAGGGCACAGAGGCGAAAGCAGAGCGCAGAUUUCUGAGCUGAAAAUGUUUAGCAGACUCGUGAGAGGGAGUCAGGAAGAAAACGUGGUUCGCCUUGUGCUGCAGAUUCUUCACGCACACUGAACUAAAGCGGGAACAAUCCCGCCAAAAAGCUUUAAUUGCUAGCCUGGAGUAUCAUACAUCCUGAACCUGGUUCUGCUGAUGGUUCAGUAGCUAGAAAAGCGAAGAGAGAAACUUAAGGACUCCAAGAAGGGAGGGUAAGAAGGAAAGAAGGAAAACGGAAGGAGGAGGAGGGGAGGUCCUUUUCCAGCCUGUUAAAUGUUCCCCAGGCCCGGCCGAGACUUAGCAUCCUGAUUUGCAUUCAGCGAACAUGCUAAUUGUGUGUUUUCUAACAUACUCCAUUCAUUCGGAUGAGACUGUGCUCCACACACGCCUCCUAGACACCCGCGUGGCCUCCUAUUGUUGACGAGCCGAACAGCUCCAGGCCCAGGCACAGUGAUGAGCAUGGGGUUAACCUGGAGCUCCAGGCUGCUGUGGAGAGAGGACCAAAGGGAGAGACUAUUAACUCGAGUUCCCCUAUCAGAAUCAGAACUCUUUAAGCUUUUUUAUUCCGCCAAACUUAAACAUUUUGUGGAAAGACAGCUGCGAAAACGAAGCGAGGCCUGUAGGAAACCAAAACACUUUUUAUGGGCCUUCAGGAGUGGAGUGGUGUGAAGCUUGAGAAUGGCUAUUACACUGAGUGCUGCAGCUUGUUGCCCCUUUCAAAGCUCAGAUGGCAACCAGGGCUGUUGAGACAUAGUCAAGAGAUUCACCAACAGUAAAACUGGAACCAUUUACAGGAAAAACACCCCACACUGGACAAGCAAACCACUCAGCUCUAUAUUAAACUGUCC